UACGUAGGGCGCAAGCGUUGUCCGGAAUUAUUGGGCGUAAAGAGCUCGUAGGCGGCUUGUCACGUCGGGUGUGAAAGCCCGGGGCUUAACCCCGGGUCUGCAUUCGAUACGGGCUGGCUAGAGUGUGGUAGGGGAGAUCGGAAUUCCUGGUGUAGCGGUGAAAUGCGCAGAUAUCAGGAGGAACACCGGUGGCGAAGGCGGUUCUCUGGGCAUGUCCUGACGCUGAGGAGCGAAAGUGUGGGGAGCGAACAGG
rnacentral:rRNA from 1 species